GAGAGCCGGAUGAGGGGAGACCCUCACGUCCGGUUCGGAGGGCAGGGAUAUCCCGGCCCUACUAUCAUUACGCCUUUGCAAUGGUACUUGGUUCAACUCCAUUUGUGACCUUUU
rnacentral:ncRNA from 1 species